UUUUGCUGUUUCCAGAGAGCUCCAGGGCCCUUUUCUUUGCUGGGAAACCACUAGUCCUCUUUGACAGUGGAGUUGAGAGAGUUGGGUAGGGCUGGCCCACCCAAAAGAGCAGCAAGAAGUAGCGGGGCUCGAUGAUUUCUGGGGGCCUUUUGAAAUACCAUCCUGACUUGCAGAAGUCAUAGUUCGAUAUUGCUGCUUGCUGGCUUAAGAAGAGUUUUGAUGAGAGCAUUUGGGUA
rnacentral:lncRNA from 1 species